rnacentral:rRNA from 1 species
CGAAACCUACGGGGCGCAGCAGUGGGGAAUAUUGCACAAUGGGCGAAAGCCUGAUGCAGCAACGCCGCGUGAAGGAAGAAGGCCUUCGGGUCGUAAACUUCUGUCCUUGGGGAAGAAGAACUGACGGUACCCAAGGAGGAAGCCCCGGCUAACUACGUGCCAGCAGCCGCGGUAAUACGUAGGGGGCAAGCGUUAUCCGGAAUUAUUGGGCGUAACGAGUAUGUAGGUGGCAACCUAAGCGCAGGGUUUAAGGCAAUGGCUCAACCAUAGUU